rnacentral:rRNA from 1 species
GACGAACGCUGGCGGCGUGCCUAAUACAUGCAAGUCGAGCGAGGACCCUCCUUCGGGAGGGUGUCCUAGCGGCGAACGGGCGAGUAACACGUGGGCAACCUGCCCUCAGCUCUGGGAUAACUCCGGGAAACCGGGGCUAAUACCGGACACGAACUCCACGGGCAUCUGCGGAGGUGGAAAGAUAUUCGGCUGAGGAUGGGCCCGCGGCCGAUCCGCUAGUUGGUGGGGUAGUGGGCCACGAAGGCGACGACUGGUAGCCGGCCGGGGAGGGGGGCCGGCCACCCGGGGCCUGAGGCACGGCCCAGACGCCUACGGGAGGCAGCAGUGGAGAAUAUUGCGCAACGGGCGAAAGCCUGACGCAGCGACGCCGCGUUAGGAACGAAGUCUUUCGGGUUGUAAACCUCUUUCAGCGGAGACGAAGCGAAAGUGACGGUACCUGCAGAAGAAGCACCGGCCAACUACGUG